rnacentral:lncRNA from 1 species
CAUGUACAUCAAAAAUGUGCUAAUUUCUUCCCUAGAAUUUGACUUUCAACUUCCAGGAUUUUAAUAUUUUGGGUUUGUAAUUUUCAGGAUUUUAGAUAUUAGAGAUUUUAGACUUUAGAGAUUUUGAUCUUUCAGGAUUUCAACAUUCAGGAUUGUGUCUUUUGGGAUUAUGACUGACACCAGUUCUGACAUAGACUGUUUAGGCCACAGAGCCUAAAUAGUUGCUAUAAGGCUCUUUACAAAAAGCUUUGCUAAGUCCCUGACUUAGAUAGUGUCAAUGGCAGUAGAGAGAAAUGGGUGAAUUUGAUAGAUACUAAGAGGCAGAAUUGACAAAACAUGGUGACUUAUUGGAUAUAUCAGUAAGAAGGAAAAAAGUAUUGUUCUGAGGUUUCCUGCUUGGCAAGCUGAGAAGUAGGAGUUUGGUUUAUAGAAAUAGCAAAUAUUGAAAGUCGUUCAGAUUUGGGGAAAGUGGCAAGGGCAUGGAGAUGACUUCAGUUUUAGGUAUGUUGAGUUUGAGGUGUCUGUAAGUCAUCUGGAGCUGUCCAGGAGAUGGUUCUAUACAUGAAAGAUCAGGACUGGUUUCGUGUCAUCAGCAUAUAGGUGCAAUAUGAGGUGGUGAGAGUGGAUAAUAUUGCCCUGAAAGAGUACACACAGAAGAAGAGAGGGUCUGCUGGGCACAGUGGCGCACAUCUGUAAUCCCAGCACUUUGGGAGGCUGAGAAGGGUGGAUUCCUUGAGCCCAGGAGCUGGAAUGCAAUGGCACGAUCUCGGCUGACUGCAACCUCCACCUCCAGGGUUCAAGUGAUUGUUCUGCCUUAGCCUCCUGAGUGACUGGAAUUACAGGCAUCUGCCACCAUGCCUAAUUUUUUGUAUUUUUAGUAGAGAUGGGGUUUCAUCACAUUGGCCAGGCUGGUCUCGAACUCCUGACCUGAAGUGAGCCACCCAUCUCAGCCUCCCAAAGUUCUGGGAUUACAGGCAUGAGCCACCGUGCCCAGCCAAAACCCCAUUCUCUAUGAAAAAUACAAAAAAAAAAUAGCUAGGCAUGGUGCCAUGUGCCUGUAGUCCCAACUACUUGGAAGGCUGAGGUGGGAGAAACACCUAAGCCUGGGAAGUUAAAACUACAGUGAGCCAUGACCGCGCUAACUGCACGUCAGUCUGGGGGAUGGAGUGAGAUCUUUUCUCAAAAUAAAUAGCAGAGGGUCUAGGAAAAGAAUCUUUAAAGAUAUCAAUAUUCAAAGAAUGGAUAGAGUAAAAAGAACCUGAAACAGUCUGGAUGUGGUGGCUCAUGCUUGUAAUCCUAGCACUUUGGGAGGCCGAGGCUGGAGGAUUGCUGGAGCCAGGAGUUCAAGACCAGCCUGGGCAACAUAGUGAGACCCGGGUGCUACGGGAAAAAAAAAAAAAAA